rnacentral:rRNA from 1 species
ACUCCUGCGGGAGGCAGCAGUGGGGAAUAUUGGACAAUGGGCGCAAGCCUGAUCCAGCCAUGCCGCGUGAGUGAUGAAGGCCCUAGGGUUGUAAAGCUCUUUCACCGGAGAAGAUAAUGACGGUAUCCGGAGAAGAAGCCCCGGCUAACUUCGUGCCAGCAGCCGCGGUAAUACGAAGGGGGCUAGCGUUGUUCGGAAUUACUGGGCGUAAAGCGCACGUAGGCGGAUCGAUCAGUCAGGGGUGAAAUCCCAGGGCUCAACCCUGGAACUGCCUUUGAUACUGUCGAUCUGGAGUAUGGAAGAGGUGAGUGGAAUUCCGAGUGUAGAGGUGAAAUUCGUAGAUAUUCGGAGGAACACCAGUGGCGAAGGCGGCUCACUGGUCCAUUACUGACGCUGAGGUGCGAAAGCGUGGGGAGCAAACAGGAUUAGAUACCCUUGUAGUCCCAU